UACAGAGGUCCCAAGCGUUGUUCGGAUUCACUGGGCGUAAAGGGUGCGUAGGUGGUGAGGUAAGUCGGAUGUGAAAGCUCGGAGCUCAACUCCGAAAUGGCAUUGGAAACUACCUUGCUCGAGGGCUGGAGGGGGGACUGGAAUACUUGGUGUAGCAGUGAAAUGCGUAGAUAUCAAGUGGAACACCAGUGGCGAAGGCGAGUCCCUGGACAACUCCUGACACUGAGGCACGAAAGCUAGGGGAGCAAACAGG
rnacentral:rRNA from 1 species